GUCCACGAGUUUGGGACCGGGUUGGUCACGUGACGCGGUGGGGGCACCAUGGGGUGAUGUGAGAUGCGGGUGCCUCAGAUUACGUACAAAUGACGUAUUCCUACCCCUUUUGGCAACCAGAUUUCCGUUGGAAGAUGCAACGGUUCCGGUGACGGUAGCCAGUUCUCGCGUCCACGCAGCUCCGCUUCCGCUCGGGGCGCAACAACUUCCGACUCCACCUUCCGCGCCUCGGGCGAGGAAGAGACGCGACCAUAUGCGCAUGCCCCGAAUUUAUCACGGAGGGGCGGGGCUGAGGCUGCGGGAGCUGGAGGGGGGAAGAAAAGGGAAUUCCAACCUGUGGAACCUUGGGGGGUCCCCGGGGUCGGCGCCUUCCCAUUGACUGUGGGCGGUGCAAGGGACGGAGGCUCUGGUGGCUCGUGGGGGUGUUGGGGUCCACAGGGGGAGGGAGGGGAGUGUCAGAGUGUGAGUGGGGUACGGGUAUUCCAAGUUUGCCGGCCUCCCGGUCUGACGCCGGGGAGGGAGAGCUCAGGCCGCCAUGCGGGACAGGACCCACGAGCUGAGGCAGGGGGAUGACAGCUCGGACGAAGAGGACAAGGAGCGAGUCGCGCUGGUGGUGCACCCAGGCACGGCACGGCUGGGGAGCCCGGACGAGGAGUUCUUCCAGAAGGUCCGGACAAUUCGGCAGACUAUUGUCAAGCUGGGGAAUAAAGUCCAGGAGUUGGAGAAACAGCAGGUCACCAUCCUGGCCACGCCCCUUCCUGAGGAGAGCAUGAAGCAGGAGCUGCAGAACCUGCGCGACGAGAUCAAACAGCUGGGGAGGGAGAUCCGCCUGCAGCUGAAGGCCAUAGAGCCCCAGAAGGAGGAAGCUGAUGAGAACUAUAACUCCAUCAACACAAGAAUGAGAAAAACCCAGCAUGGGGUCCUGUCCCAGCAAUUCGUGGAGCUCAUCAACAAGUGCAAUUCAAUGCAGUCCGAAUACCGGGAGAAGAACGUGGAGCGGAUCCGGAGGCAGCUGAAGAUCACCAAUGCUGGGAUGGUGUCUGACGAGGAGCUGGAGCAGAUGCUGGAUAGUGGGCAGAGCGAGGUGUUUGUGUCCAAUAUCCUGAAGGACACACAGGUGACUCGACAGGCCUUAAAUGAGAUCUCGGCCCGGCACAGUGAGAUCCAGCAGCUUGAACGCAGUAUUCGUGAGCUGCACGAUAUCUUCACUUUUCUGGCUUCUGAAGUGGAGAUGCAGGGGGAGAUGAUCAAUCGGAUUGAGAAGAACAUCCUGAGCUCAGCGGACUACGUGGAACGCGGGCAGGAGCACGUCAAGACAGCCCUGGAGAACCAGAAGAAGGCGAGGAAGGCCCCUGCUGUUGCUGCCGCUGCCGCUGCUCCUAGCUGCCCAGUCUGGCGGGCUCAGUCCCGCAUUGCCACGCAUGGGAGACCGCCUCGCGGAAGCGCUGGAUGUGGCUUCGCUGAUGCACGUUGGACCGGGCCCUGGACUGGGCUAGGGGAAGGGCAGGAGGGCGGAAUUGGGCCCGAGGGCCGGGCCUGGCCGACCCCCGACUGCUCUGCCUCCAUGGAGGCUGGCGGCCCCGCAGAGCCUCCCGGUGGCCCUGGAGUGCGGGUUGUCCUGUCCGAGAUCACCCACAAUUGGGCGAGAUCACCCGCAAUUGGGCGAGCUGUGCAUGGGACGUGGCCGAGGCCGUGGUUUGGUUGCAAUUGGCCAGCGGGACCUAAGUGUUGUCUCUGAAGAGCAUGGGCAUUAGUCUGGAGGGUCCUGGGAGAGUGAUCUCUGCCCCAUCAAAUGGCAUUUAGGUCUAGGAAGCAGGUGUGGGCGGGGCCUUAGGGCGAGGCACAGACAUACCCCGAAGUGGUUGGAUUGUAGACCGCAAGGGGCUGGAUCGAACCCCCAAAAGACACUGGAAGGCUGUGUGGCUGAGGAGGGUCCAGCAGGUCCAGUGUUUCGUAGGCUUUACAGGAAGGAGCUCCACUUUCUCAAGAGUGUGCAGAUGCGAUCUAGGUGUGUCCACCCGAUGGGAGUUGUGGGGCCGGGCGGAUGCUGCCCCAGUACAAAGCUGAUUUGGACCUAGGGCCUCUGGACUUCCCUGAUUCUCUGCUUGCAUCUCCAGCAAACUCCUGUCCCGUUGGCUGCCUUCAUCCACUCUCUCACCUCUCUGCCUUCAGAGUAAAAUUGCAAGAUCUGUGGUGCUUACUGGGAUCUGAUAGAGUCUCUCGGCAUGCACUGUCUAUGCAUCGGGGAUCCACGUGCAUCAGGGGUCCCUGUGCAGUGUGUGCCUCUUCUUAGCCAUGCUGGACAGCACCACCCCUGAAAAGCAGCUCCCCUGUUUACCCAGAAAGCCGUCCAGAACCUCCUGGAAAAGGUGGCCUGAUAGCAGUGGCCUCGGAUGCCAGGCUCAAUCCUUUGAACUUUUCCUGUGGGCUGUCAGGACCCAUAGAAGGUCUUUGAGCAGCUCAUAGGUCUCUGAAUCAAGAGAAGCUGCAUCUGGACCUGAUAUAGAAGAGACUAUUAGAGAUCCUGGGCUUGAGGCUGAUUCCAUGUCAGAUGGGUCACUUAGGUGGUCUCCCUUCGGAAGGGGAUGCAUUUAUUUUGCAUAUGGAAGAAAAUGCAAAGGCAGUAUUUGUAAGGAAGAGGGCAGACGGGGGAAGAUUUUAUAAUUGUUCAAAAACAUUCACUGGGCUGGGUGCGGUGGCUCAUGCCUAUAAUCCCAGUGCUUUGGGAGGGUGAGGCAGGAGGAUCACUUGAGGCUGAGUUUGAGACCAGCAUGGGCAACAUAGUGAGACCCUAUCUCUACAAAAAAUAAAACAAUAAAAAAAAAUUAGCUGGGCGUGGUGGUGCUUGCCUGUAGUCGUAGCUACAGGCUGAGGUGGGAGGAUCGCUUAAGCUCAGGAGGUAGAGGCUGCAGUGAGUUAUGAUUGCACCAUGCACCCAUGCACUCCAGCCUGGGCAACACAAGAAGACACUGACUCUAAACAACCAACAAAACAAAAUCACAUGUAUUCACUGGCCCUCUCUUUGGGGACCUGCUAUAUGUUAGGCAGGGAUUUAGACCCAACAUGGUGGUACCACCUGACAUGGCAGGCCCCUUGUCGGGACUUUACCCGCUGAGACUUCCUGCUAGGACUUUUCAGUGCACGAAAAGCACCCUGAGCUCGCCAAAACUCCCCGCUCUGCUCUGCGCAAACUCCUGGACACGUCAUUCCUCAGAAAUCGAAACCUAACUCAGGAAACCGAAACCUACAGACCCCGCCUACCUCGCCCUAUAAAAGGCCGGAUACCUGCCCUGCCUGCGACUUCCUCGGCCCUCCUCCUAGGGGACCGGUGAACCUCGCCCGCAAGCCCAAUAAAGGCUACCUCUGUUCUCAUCUGCCUCAUGUCUUCUUGCUCAGCUCCCCAUUACAUUGGUGCCGAAACCUGGGAGGAGACCCCUCCCCAGACCCCUGCCGGUUCGGGCAGGCUCUCCUCUCCCUGAGCCAGGACCUCCUCUCUGAGCCGGGAGAUGUUUUACCAAAUCCAAGACUCAGUUCGAUCACUGCUGGGUAAGUUUUCCCCCGUCCUGCAGGCUCCAGAAGUCCAUGCCCAAAAACGCGGCCGCGUCAGGGCUUCCCCCGUCCAUCACUUGUGACCUUGGCACCGGGGACUAGGAGACGUCUGACCUCCCUGGAAGCUGCCAUACCCUGCACUCCGCGUGGCAGUGAGAGGAUGCUCCCGUUGCCUCCGGACUGCUCGCCUCAGGAUCAUGGGGGCUGCCCAGUCCAAACCAGACCCAAAAUCCCUCUGGGGUGCCUCUUGGCUAAUUUCCAGACUUUAGGUCUCAGCCAAGACCUAAAACGAAAGCGGCUUAUUUUCUUCUGCACAGUGGCAUGGCCGCAGUAUAAAUUGGAUAAUCAGUCUCAGUGGCCUGCAGAAGGCACUCUAGACUUUAACAUCCUCAUAGAUCUGACCAACUUCUGCAAGAGACUAGGCAAAUGGUCUGAGGUACCCUAUGUUCAGGCCUUUCGGGACUUGCGCUCCUGCCCAGACCUCUGUGCGCAAUGUUCGUUGGCCCAGGUCUUGCUCACGAAAUCUACUUCCUCAAGCAAGGAAAAGGACGAUUCUUCCUCCUUCUCUGAGCCCCCAAUACUCUUUCCCUACCCCUCCUUCAGUCCCCCGCUCAACCUCCCCCUUACUCUGACCCGUCGUUGUCUCCGUCCUUGUCGGCGCCACCCCUUCCCUCCACUCCUCCUGUGUCCCCACCAAACCUGACGGACCCUGUCUCUCCUCCCUCCUCCUCCUGCUCGCCUGUCUCAGCCCAUACCCGGUCCAGGACUGACCUCCUGUGCCCCUUGCGGGAAGUGGCAGGCGCCGAAGGAGUGGUCCGGGUCUAUGUGCCGUUUUUGCGGGCAGACCUGUCUAAGAUUGAAGAGCAUGUAGUCUCUUUCUCAGCCAACCCCACUCUGUAUAUCAAAGAGUUCAGAUACCUAUGCCAGCAUAUGACCUCACCUGGCAUGAUCUCCAUGUCAUUAUAACCUCAACCCUGUCCCCUGAGAAACGGGAGCAUAUCCUAGCAGCAGCCAGGAAGCAUGAUGACCAGGUUCAUUUAACUGACCCUGCCAUGCCAGUCAGCACCAAGGCGGUGCCCUCUGCCGAGCCUGGCUAGGACUACCAGGUUGGGCAGGCAGGCUGCUGCCACCGAGACAUGAUGGUCCAGUGCCUUCUUGCCAGCAUGCAGGCAGCCUCCAAUAAGUCAGUCAACUUUGAUAAAUUAAAGGAGGUAGUCCACGGCUCAAAUGAAAAUCUGGCCGUUUUUCUUAACCGACUGACUGAGGCACUCAUUCAGUACACCCGCCUUGACCCUGCCUCCCCCGCAGGAGGAACCGUCUUGGCUACGUACUUUAUUUCUCAGUCGGCUCCGGAUAGCUGGAAAAAAUUUAAAAAGGUGGAGGAUGGCCCUCAAACUCCCAUCCAGGAUUUAGUCAAACUGGCCUUCAAGGUCUACAACUCCAGGGAGGAAGCAGCUGAGGCCCAGCAACAGGCCAGGCUAAAACAGAAGGUACAACUCCAAACCCAGGCCUUGGUGGCAGCCCUGAGGCCGGCAGGCUCCAGGAGCUCUCAGAGAGGAGGUACUCCCCGAGCGCCACCUGGUGCCUGCUUCAAGUGCAGCAACAAAGGCCACUGGGCCAAGCAGUGCCCCAACCCUAAGGAACCAACUCGCCCCUGUCCAAGCUGUGGGCAGAUGGGCCAUUGGAAGUCAGACUGCCCCAACCUGAGGACGGUCGCUACGCCUCCACAUGACGACCCUCCUCCAGGUACUGGAGGCGUCUUCCAGCUCCUCGACACCGACAAAGAUUGAAGAGGCCCAGACUCAGGAACCUCUCUUACUCUCGCCGAGCCCAGGGUUAUGCUCCAGGUAGCGGCUCCCUGUGUCCUCCGCUUCGUCCAGGACCACAUAAAGGAAGUCUCCCGGGUCACUGUCAGUCAGAUGCUACUCCACCCCUAUACCCGAGUUCUGACCUCCGAAGAACCCCACAAUGACCUAUACCAGCAGGAAGCAGCCAGAGGAACACGUCGCCCCUUUUUCUUAUUAGAAAGAAGUCGGAAUGUUAGGCAGGGACCUAGACCCAACAUGGCGGUACCACCUGACAUGGCGGGCCCCUUGUCAGGACUUUACCCGCUGGGACCUCCUGCUAGGACUUUUCAGCGCGCGAAAAGCACCCUGAGCCCGCCAAAACUCCCCGCUCUGUGCAAACUCCUGGGCACCUCAUUCCUCAGAAACCGAAACCUACAGACCCCGCCUACCUCGCCCUACAAAAGGCCCCUGAUACCUGCCCUCCGUGUGACUUCCUCGGCCCUCCUCCUAGGGGACCAGUGAACCUCGCCCGCGAGCCCAAUAAAAGCUACCUCUGUUCUCA